UCAGUUCUUUAGUCACAAAACUAGAAAUCUUAAGACACAAGUUAUGCCUUAUUUUUUUUCUAAUUGUCUCUUUCAAAAAUUGUUAAAAAAAAAAAAAAUAACCUGAUCAGGUCUAACUACCCAUGUGAGAAAAGCAUAUUCAUUAAUCCUCUGACUAGCGCUGGAAGGACUAGAGGUUCCAUAACAUGUUCGACUCUGUUGCAGGCUUACAUGUUUCUGAGAAACAUCAGCUCUUUCAAGAUUCUUAAGAUUCUAAAUCUCUUGAUAUAGAUUUUGAAAAGCUUUUCAUUAGCAACUUCAAAACAUAGAAAUGAUGGAAAUAUCAAAAAUACUUUGCUUUUCAGAGACAUGAGACCUGAAUUACAAUGAAACAAUCAGAAUACAAAAAAAAAAAUUUACUUUCACACUGAAAUGUGGAGAGAAUGAACAUUGCACAGGAGGUCUUCAAUAUAAAGUUAGUUCUAUGAUGACAUGUCGCCUAGGCUUUUGGAUAGACUUUCACAUUUUCCUACAGAUCUGCCAAAUUCUAGAGACCUGACAGUGCACUAAACUUGGCAUUUGUUUGCUAGCAUACAUAAGGACUGAGGUUCCAUCCUCCGCAACACACACACAAGGCAAGCAUUUGUUAACCAAUGACACAUGAGAACUAACUGUGAUUAUAUAGACAGCAUAUUCCCUGCAAAACACUGAACUGACAGCUUCUUCUCUAAAUAUACCUUCUUCAAAAGAGCUUGGUCAGUCUUUUCCUCCCAUAUUUCUUCAUAGCAUAAACAAUAAAAGUUGCAUUUUUGCUUUGCUUAUGAUAAUGACUUAACAAUAAUUAUUCCUCCCUUCUCCCUUUACAGCUGCAGCUACUGACUAGACGCAAAGGGGAUCUGUCAUCUGAUCACUCUUUCUCAAUAUUCACUUUAGUUACUGUUUUGUUUUUUGAAAUGAGGUCUCUCUGUAGUCUUUGCUGUCCUGGAACUCAGUCUGUAGACCAGGCUGGCCUCAAACUCACAGAGAUCCCCUCGCCUCUACCUCCUGAGUGCUGGGAAUAAAAAAACAAAAACCUGUGCUACU
rnacentral:lncRNA from 1 species